UACGUAGGGGGCAAGCGUUGUCCGGAUUUACUGGGCGUAAAGAGCGUGUAGGCGGCCAAGCAGGUCCGUUGUGAAAACUGGAGGCUUAACCUCCAGACGUCGACGGAAACCGCGUGGCUAGAGUCCGGAAGAGGAGAGUGGAAUUCCUGGUGUAGCGGUGAAAUGCGCAGAUAUCAGGAAGAACACCAAUGGCGAAGGCAGCUCUCUGGGACGGUACUGACGCUGAGACACGAAAGCGUGGGGAGCGAACAGG
rnacentral:rRNA from 1 species